UACGUAGGGCGCAAGCGUUGUCCGGAAUUAUUGGGCGUAAAGAGCUCGUAGGCGGUGUGUCGCGUCGGCCGUGAAAACCUGCAGCUCAACUGUGGGCUUGCGGUCGAUACGGGCAUCACUGGAGUUCGGCAGGGGAGACUGGAAUUCCUGGUGUAGCGGUGAAAUGCGCAGAUAUCAGGAGGAACACCGGUGGCGAAGGCGGGUCUCUGGGCCGAUACUGACGCUGAGGAGCGAAAGCGUGGGGAGCAAACAGG
rnacentral:rRNA from 1 species